AACGCACCUUGCGCCCCUUGGUUAUUCCUUGGAGCAUGCCUGUUUGAGUAUCAUGAACACCUCAACUCUCAUGGUCUUCCAUGAUGAGCUUGGACUUUGGGGGUUUGCUGGCCCUGCGGCCGGCUCCUCUCAAAUGAAUCAGCUUGCCAGUGUUUGGUGGCAUCACGGGUGUGAUAACUAUCUACGCUCGCGGUCGUCUGCCAGGUAACCCUCAGCGAUGAGGGUUCAUUGGAGCUCAUAAACGUCUCUCCUCGGCGAGGACAACUUUUGAACGUUCGAUCUCAAAUCAGGUAGGAUUACCCGCUGAACUUAA
rnacentral:misc_RNA from 2 species